rnacentral:rRNA from 1 species
GACGAACGCUGGCGGCGUGCUUAACACAUGCCAGUCGAACGGAAAGGCCCCCACCUUGGUGGGGGUGCUCGAGUGGCGAACGGGUGAGUAACACGUGGGUGAUCUGCCCUGUACUUCGGGAUAAGCUUGGGAAACUGGGUCUAAUACCGGAUAGGACCAUGGUUUAGUGUCUCAUGGUGGAAAAAUAUUGUUUUGGUGCAGGAUGAGCUUGCGGCCUAUCAGCUUGUUGGUGGGGUAAUGGCCUACCAAGGCGUCGACGGGUAGCCGGCCUGAGAGGGUGGACGGCCACAUUGGGACUGAGAUACGGCCCAGACUCCUACGGGAGGCAGCAGUGGGGAAUAUUGCACAAUGGGCGCAAGCCUGAUGCAGCGACGCCGCGUGGGGGAUGACGGCCUUCGGGUUGUAAACUCCUUUCGUUAGGGACGAAGCCACACCUUUUUUGGGUGUGGUGACGGUACCUUUGUGAAGAAGCACCGGCUAACUACGUG